CUUAAGCCAAGGACAGGAAUGAAUGGUUUUUCCACUCUUUCUCUGACUGCAUAUAUGGGCAUUUACUGUUACUGGGAAGAACGACUGUGAUCCUGCCACCUUCUAAAUGAAUCUUCUUAUCCAUAAUACACAAAGAUUUACCAACAUGAAGGAGUACAUCUUCAAGUUCAGUGGCCUGAUUUCCAGUACAUCAGCUUUGGUAUUUGAAAUCAUCCUUGCAAACAGCCAAUGCUGGCGCCUGUGGGAGUUUAACAACAAGCUUGUGCAAUUUGUGUCAAUUGGACUCUGGGAAACUUAAUACACUCAGGACUUUAACAUCUCUGGGUCUAUGACCAGGAUGUUGGU